UGUUGAAAACUUCAUCUAUUUCUACUGUUAAAAAUUGAAGUGACUGCUAGAAUAACCAGACAGUAAUACAUACCUCGUGGUGACAUACAGAAACUAGUUUUUAAUAGUAGAAAUAGAUAAAAUUUCUAACA
rfam:Gossypium arboreum cultivar AKA8401 contig_19731_1, whole genome shotgun sequence.